AUUCCUUAUUUAUUGAUACUCUGGUUCUCAUCUGAUCAUCAAAGUUAGGCAAUGUUGGGCCCGGUCAGUAUUUGGGAGGGUGACCACUAGGAGACACUGGGUGCUGUACCU